rnacentral:lncRNA from 1 species
GACAGAAACAGAUCAGAGGUCGUCUGGGGCUGGAAAGGGAUUUACUGUAAAGGGGAACGAGGGAAAUUUUCAGGUGAUGGGAAAUGUUCUCUAUCUUUUUUUUUUUUUUUUUUUUUUUUUUUGGUGAGGCUGCCCAGAUUCCCAAAUAGCAAUUCUCUCUAUCUCUCUCUCUCUCUCUCUCUCUCUCUCUCUCUCUCUCUCUCUUUUUUUUUUUUUUUCCUCUAAGAAACAGGGUCUUACUAUGUUGCUCAGGCUGGUCUCAAACUCCUGGCUUCCAGCAAUUCUCCCUCAGCCUCCCAAAGUGUUAGGAUUACAGGCAUGAGCUACCACACCUGACCAGAAAUGUUCUUGUCUUCAUAGGAGCGUGGGUUACACAGAUGAAUGCAUUUGUCCAAACUCAUCAAACUCUAGACUUUAAGAUCUAUGCCUUUCACCAUAUGCAAAUUAUACCACAAUAGAAGAAGAAAAUGACUUGCCACAUCUCACAACCAAAUGAGCAGCGCAGCUCCUAAGUGGAGAUGGCAGCUCAGGGCCGAGGGAGCAAAUUUUCCAGAAGAGAUGGACAGAGAAGUGGGUCUGAAAGGGCUCUGGGGACAGGGUCAGCCUUGAGUUGACGGAACACCUGGGGCAUGGAGCUCUCUCCAGGCGAGUGACAGCUACAUGGAUGAAGCUGAAGGGUGGAGCUGGAGGUGUCUAGGGUGCAAGCCAGGCCUGCAAAGGUCAAAGGGAGAGAAACAAUGAGGCCAUGUGGCCCCAACUGUUGGUGGUUUCCUCGGAGCGUCAGAGGCUGCUGACAUUGCCCAGCUGGGCAGCAUCCUGGGAACAGAGAGGGUGGACUCAACAGCACAGAGAGGCAAGGGAAAGGGUGAGACCCCAGUGCUGAGGGUCGAGCCUCUGGUUUAUCCACACUGCUUCUUCCCAAAGUCCCUUGAGCUAGAGCAGCGGGAUGGGCAUGAGUACUUCCUGAGUCUGUCUCCCACCCAGUGACCACACAGCAAAGCCAGGGCAGCUGCGCAUGGCUUCCUGGUAGAAAGCCCCUCUCCCACCCAUGGAAGUCAGACUCCAUGAGCCUCUCCCCACUGCUCUCAGGCCGCCAGCCCCACCGUCUGCCUUGUUCCACUCAGAUGGGGUGAGAC